rnacentral:snoRNA from 1 species
UGAUGAGAUGAUGAAAGAGAUUAAUUUCCCUAUUGGUUUGAUUGGCCAACAUGAUGGCCUAAAUACUGAAUCGAAUCGUUU